AGUUGACACUGGGGCUGGUAGCCUCGGCCACUGGCAGCAUUGGCUUUGUUGUAUAUAACUUACAAAUGGGAAAAGAUAACUUCAGCUGGUCGGAGUUCUGCAAUGUUUACAACACCUUCUGCAACCAUCUAGGAUUCUCCGUCGGUGUCUCCAUAUUUGCCACCAUUUUGCUCAGCUUUCUUCUCUGGACCUCCCUCUUUUCUUUUUACAGAAGAAUCUCAAGGAAGAGCCCACCACCACAAUUAACACAGGCAGAGGCAUAG
rnacentral:lncRNA from 1 species